rnacentral:rRNA from 1 species
AUUGAACGCUGGCGGCAGGCCUAACACAUGCCAGUCGAGCGGAUGAAGGGAGCUUGCUCCUGGAUUCAGCGGCGGACGGGUGAGUAAUGCCUAGGAAUCUGCCUGGUAGUGGGGGAUAACGUCCGGAAACGGGCGCUAAUACCGCAUACGUCCUGAGGGAGAAAGUGGGGGAUCUUCGGACCUCACGCUAUAAGAUGAGCCUAGGUCGGAUUAGCUAGUUGGUGGGGUAAAGGCCUACCAAGGCGACGAUCCGUAACUGGUCUGAGAGGAUGAUCAGUCACACUGGAACUGAGACACGGUCCAGACUCCUACGGGAGGCAGCAGUGGGGAAUAUUGGACAAUGGGCGAACGCCUGAUCCAGCCAUGCCGCGUGUGUGAAGAAGGUCUUCGGAUUGUAAAGCACUUUAAGUUGGGAGGAAGGGCAGUAAGUUAAUACCUUGCUGUUUUGACGUUACCAACAGAAUAAGCACCGGCUAACUUCGCG